GCGGGUGUAGUUCAGUGGUAGAACACUAGCCUUCCAAGCUAGUCAUGUGGGUUCGAUUCCCAUCACCCGCUCCA
rnacentral:tRNA from 1 species